rnacentral:rRNA from 1 species
AUGCGUUCUAUUGAUGAAACGAUCACCCACAACGUCGACAGAAUGGACUAUAAUAAUUUCAUCGGGCAACUUCGUUUCAUCCUCGCGAACCACCGCGACAACCCAAAGCAGCAUGUCCGCGACCUCCAUAGGAAAAUCCGUUACGUGCUUCCCAAGCAGAGGCAUUCCAGAGAGCCGGAUAGGUGGAUAUACAUCAAGCUUGAACUGGACGACGGCGCAGAGACGACACUAAGGGUCCGGGACGACAACGUUUACCUGACUGGCUUCGAGAAUAAGGAAGGAGAAUUGUUCGAGUUUGGUUUCUCGGGGACGACGAUGAUUGACGGUAGCAAGAAGAAGAGCAGGCCUAUGGUCCGAGACAAAGAGUCCAGGUUCUUGGAAUGCGAUGUCAACUACGGGAGCCUAGUACAUGGAGGGGCGGGGAAGCUUGUGAAAAUGUGUCUUGGCCCAGAGCCCGUGCGCUCAGCCGUGCGCUGGCUAUCAGGCUACUCACAAGGUGAAGGCGGCAGGGUUGACGAGCGCACCAAACGUGCACUGGCAUUUCUCAUGGUGAUGGUUUGCGAGGCCACAAGAAUGCGCCCGCUCCAGAUGCAGGCGGGCUGGCAGGCCAAGUGGUGCUGCACCGACCGCAAGCACGUGGACUACAUCUGGGGUUGGGGCGACAUGUCUGAGGCCCUGCUGCGGUGGGACAGGGAGUCGGGCAACUUCAAAUUCCCCCAGUGUCUGAGGGAUAUCGGGGUCGGGAGCGCAUUGAAGGCAUUUGGUAUAGUUGAGCUGCUGCUUAACACGCCCAUUCAUCGUCCGCCCCGAUGGCGGGGGGAGCGGUACCAGCCAGGGCGGCCCGCGGCAGGUGACGACGACGACGCCAGGCGAUCGGAGCAACAGCGCCGCCGCGCGGCAGGUGACCGUGGCGGUCAGAGGCCCGCUGCAGGUGAACAUGGCAGCGGAUCCAGGGGGCAGCAGCAGUCUCCCCCUCCUCCUCCUCCUCCUAACAAAAAAAGGAGAACCGAGCAGCAGCAUGACCAGGACCAGCAGCAGCAGCCGUCUGACAAGGGCAGCGGGGAUUCCCACCAGCAGGAGACACCAUCGGAAUCGCCUGCUGACGAUUUCGUGGCCCGUGGCCGGCCAUUGGUGGAGGUGUUCGCCGUGCGCGCCGGCUUCCAUUUCGUCGGCACCAUUUCCGUGUUCGACGGCAUGCGCGGCCAGGUCAUCUACGAGAUGGGCAACAAUGGCGGUGCUCCUCCUAUCCAUGGCUCCUCUUCGAGCUCGGGUGACGACGACCAGCCGCGGCCGCUGCUGCUGACUGGGCCAUACCGAGCCAUCUCCGCGUACGGGAGCUUUACCAUUGAGGUUGACAUCAGCGGCGCCGGAGACGUUGGUGAGCUGGAUUGGGACUGCUACGACCAAGCAAAGGUUUACGACAGGCAAGUUACAGAGACCAUCACAACGAGCAGCAGCGGCCGGAAGGUACACGUGACCUACGCGGUGCUGAGCGACGCCGUGGAUGCCGAAUUGGAAGUCCACCUUCGCCUCCCCGGAGCCACUGCCGCCGCCGUCUACGGUCGCAUCGCCACGCGCAGCAAGGCGUUCCAUGAUGAAGACACAUCAUGGAGCGUGCUGUUCGACUCGGAGGUCGAGGGGGUGCUGCUCGUCGCCGGUACCCGGUUGCCGCUGGCACGGUCUGUCGUGGCCAUGCCACUUGGUUCGCCGCUCCUGAUAACGGCAACCCUGUACGAUGCACCACCAAGCCAACAUGGUGUCAGCCCCGUCUUUCAAUUCCAGGAUAUGGAGCUCACCCUUGAUAUGAGGAGAUGCUCUGCCAACAACGGCGGCGGCGAGUUUGAAGUCAGCAUCACCUCGCCUGACCACUAUCCCCGGCCAAGGCGAAAUGACACUGCGACCCCACGACCAAGGCCUACCAACCACUAUGGUUGUUCGUGA